GCCGAGGUGGCGGAACUGGCAGACGCGCCAGGUUCAGGACCUGGUGGACGUUAAAUCCAUGCGGGUUCAAGUCCCGCCCUCGGCA
rnacentral:tRNA from 1 species